rnacentral:rRNA from 1 species
GCCUUGCGCGCACCGGCGGACGGCUCAGUAACACGUCGGUAACCUACCCUCGGGAGGGGGAUAACCCCGGGAAACUGGGGCUAAUCCCCCAUAGGCCUGAGGUACUGGAAGGUCCUCAGACCGAAAGGGGCUUUGCCCGCCCGAGGAUGGGCCGGCGGCCGAUUAGGUAGUUGGUGGGGUAACGGCCCACCAAGCCGAAGAUCGGUACGGGCCAUGAGAGUGGGAGCCCGGAGAUGGACACUGAGACACGGGUCCAGGCCCUACGGGGCGCAGCAGGCGCGAAACCUCCGCAAUGCUCGAAAGAGCGACGGGGGGACCCCCAGUGCCGUGGCAUCGCCACGGCUUUUCCGGAGUGUAAAGAGCUCCGGGAAUAAGGGCUGGGCAAGGCCGGUGGCAGCCGCCGCGGUAAUACCGGCGGCCCGAGUGGUGGCCGCUAUUAUUGGGCCUAAAGCGUCCGUAGCCGGGCCAGUAAGUCCCUGGCGAAAUCCCACGGCUCAACCGUGGGGCUUGCUGGGGAUACUGCUGGCCUUGGGACCGGGAGAGGCGGAGGGUACUCCUGGGGUAGGGGUGAAAUCCUAUAAUCCCAGGAGGACCGCCAGUGGCGAAGGCGCUCCGCUGGAACGGGUCCGACGGUGAGGGACGAAGGCCAGGGGAGCGAACCGGAUUAAAUACCCGGGU